rnacentral:lncRNA from 1 species
CCAUAUGCUGCUAUGCUAGCCCUUGCGUCUUGGCCCACUUGCCAGCAGCUUCUAAGCUGCUGGGCUCACAUUACUCUGGCCUUAAACCAAAGCCAGCUUAUGCUAGGCUUUGUCCCGCACCAGCCCAAGCCAGUGUAAGUUGGGUUUGCUUCCAUGCGCCUGUUUUUGGCCCAAUUCCAGCAACUUUGAGCUAGUGGGCUUAUCCCAACCCAAUGCCAAUUUUUGGCAUUCCUGCUUCAUAACCAUACCCAUUUAAUUUUUGGGACGUUUUGGUUAACGCUAAUUAAACUAUAAUUCACUUGUCACUUGACCUGCCGCCAAUUGAAGCUAAUAAGACCCGCAUGUCAUUAUUUUGCUUCCACGAUCGACCCCGUAUGGUCUCGAUCUAUUGAAUUAAUUAAAAGUAACCAACAAUCCAUUAAUCUGACAAGACAUCCAAAAUUAUUGGCCCAAAUAUCACUUUUAGACAUUAAUGAUUCCAUGCACUUAAGUACUAUGCAAUUUAAUACAUGCCAAUUUUAAUUGUCUUUUAACGAAUUGUUUGAAUUGGUUAACGGUUGUAAUACAGGGACCAAUUUGGCAAAAUUAAAAAUAUAGGGAUUAAAUUAACCGAAAGAGUAAAACGCAGAGACCAUUUUGACAUUUAAGCCAACAUUUUAAUUGUGUAUAUCAAAAUUGUUGCAUUCCUAUUAGAUUAGGAAUGUGAUUACGUAAAUCCUAGUAUAUCUUGGAAUGUAUCUUAUAUUCCUAUUAGGAGUAGAUUACUUAUUAAAUGUUGUAAUCCUAAAGGGUAAGGAAUUAACCUUUCUUACUACUAUAAAUAAAGGCACAAUGGGGUGGAAUAACACACCCCCACAAUUACACAUCUCUCUCUUCUUCUCUCUACUAUUGCCACACCUUUCUCCCUCUAUGGCCUCCAUAAUUAUUCAGUAAAUUAUGCAUACAACACGUUAUCAGCACGCUCUUGACGUUGCGCUAACAAGAGAAUUUAUUCUUCAAUUAGGGGAGUAUUACGUUUUAAUCAUUCUUCUUAUGAUUAAUUAAUUAUUUUAUUGAAUUGAUCUACAUGCUAUUGAUUCAAUUUAAUUUUUUUUUUGUUGAAUGUGAUACAACGCAUUGGAGAUGCAAUUCCGGCUUUAUGAGAAGGAUCUUCUACAAAUUCAAAGGCUCUUGUUAUUUUCUGCCAAUCAGGUACGAUUAAAAUAAAGUAAGAUAUUUGAAACGACCAUGAAGCAUGAAAACAUUUCCCAUGAUGCAUGAACCCCCUAUGUUUAUAUUUUCCUUCCAAUAUAUAUAUUGUAUAUGUUAUAUUUUGUCAAUAUAUAUAUAUUUGUUUCAUGCAUUACACAAUUUUUGCUAUGUGGAAUAUGUGAGUCAAUGUAUAAAAUAAAAUUAGAAGCAAAUCUAGGGUUUGUAUAACCCUACCUAUGUCGAAAAACAAAAAAAAGGUUUUGGGCAUCGUGCGGCACCACCGCCGCAACACCCAUCGUGACCUGUAUGGACCACCACUGGCUUGAAGCCCAGUCGAGUUGAUCA